rnacentral:rRNA from 1 species
GACGAACGCUGGCGGCGUGCUUAACACAUGCCAGUCGAACGGAAAGGCCCUGCUUUUGUGGGGUGCUCGAGUGGCGAACGGGUGAGUAACACGUGAGUAACCUGCCCUUGACUUUGGGAUAACUUCAGGAAACUGGGGCUAAUACCGGAUAGGAGCUCCUGCUGCAUGGUGGGGGUUGGAAAGUUUCGGCGGUUGGGGAUGGACUCGCGGCUUAUCAGCUUGUUGGUGGGGUAGUGGCUUACCAAGGCUUUGACGGGUAGCCGGCCUGAGAGGGUGACCGGCCACAUUGGGACUGAGAUACGGCCCAGACUCCUAUGGGAGGCAGCAGUGGGGAAUAUUGCACAAUGGGCGGAAGCCUGAUGCAGCAACGCCGCGUGCGGGAUGACGGCCUUCGGGUUGUAAACCGCUUUCGCCUGUGACGAAGCGUGAGUGACGGUAAUGGGUAAAGAAGCACCGGCUAACUACGUG